rnacentral:rRNA from 1 species
GACGACGCUGGCGGCGUGCUUAACACAUGCAAGUCGAACGGACGAGUGAGAUAAGUUUACUUAACUCACAAGUUAGUGGCGGACGGGUGAGUAACACGUGGAUAAUCUACCUGCAACACCGGGAUAACGCUGUGAAAACGGUGCUAAUACCGGAUACGUUCCCUUGUGCGCAUGUAUGAGGGAAGAAAGCUCAGGCGGUUGCAGAUGAGUCCGCGGCUGAUUAGCUAGUUGGUGAGGUAAAGGCUCACCAAGGCGAUGAUCAGUAGCCGGCCUGAGAGGGUGAACGGCCACACUGGGACUGAGACACGGCCCAGACUCCUACGGGAGGCAGCAGUGGGGAAUCUUCCGCAAUGGGCGCAAGCCUGACGGAGCAACGCCGCGUGGGUGAAGAAGGCCUUCGGGUUGUAAAGCCCUGUCUUAUGGGAAGAAGUCAGUGACGGUACCAUAGGAGGAAGCCACGGCUAACUCCGUG